AUUGAACGCUGGCGGCAGGCCUAACACAUGCAAGUCGAACGAGUGGCGGACGGGUGAGUAAUGUCUGGGACACUGCCCGAUGGAGGGGGAUAACUACUGGAAACGGUAGCUAAUACCGCAUACCAUCAGAUGUGCCUAGAUGGGAUUAGCUGGUAGGUGGGGUAACGGCUAACCUAGGCGACGAUCCCUAGCUGGUCUGGGAGGAUGACCAGCGACACUGGAACUGAGACACGGUCCAGACUCCGACGGGAGGCAGCAGUGGGGAAGAUUGCACAAUGGGCGCAAUCCUGAUGCAGCCAGGCCGAGUGUGUGAAGAAGGCCUUCGGGUUGUAAAGCACUUUCAGCGGGGAGGCGUUACCCGCAGAAGAAGCACCGGCUAACUCCGUGCCAGCAGCCGCGGUAAUAC
rnacentral:rRNA from 1 species